UGGGGAAUAUUGGACAAUGGGGGCAACCCUGAUCCAGCAAUGCCGCGUGUGUGAAGAAGGUCUUCGGAUUGUAAAGCACUUUCGACGGGGACGAUGAUGACGGUACCCGUAAAAGAAGCCCCGGCUAACUUCGUGCCAGCAGCCGCGGUAAUACGAAGGGGGGCUAGCGUUGCUCGGAAUGACUGGGCGUAAAGGGCGUGUAGGCGGUUUACACAGUCAGAUGUGAAAUCCCCCGGGCUUAACCUGGGAGCUGCAUUUGAUACGUGUAGACUAGAGUGUGAGAGAGGGUUGUGGAAUUCCCAGUGUAGAGGUGAAAUUCGUA
rnacentral:rRNA from 1 species